UUCGCUGGAUUGACAUUUAAAAUCCGCUAAAUUACUAAAUAGCGAAUUCUAUUGGGGAAAAAAUGUAGCACGAAUGUGGAACCAGGGCAAAAUAUACCAAUUUAAAUUUAUAGCAAAAUUAACCAUUGGUGUAAAUAGUGCAGGUUUGUGUAAUCAAUUGGGGUACCAAGGUGGAACCAGUUCCGCGAGCUAUGGGAGGUCCUGCGGCUCUAGUUCCUAUCCCGCUAAAUCCAAAAACCCUUGGCAAUGCAACAGUGCGGUUUUUUACCUGAACAGAACCAGUGUCGGUGCCACCUUAGUUCCACAAUUUUUUUUCCAAUGGAAUUCGCUAUAAGUUUAUAAACAUUUUAAUUUUGUUAAAGAAAAGUGUUAAUAUUAACUGUUAAGAUAAUAAAAAGAUAAAUAAUGUUUUGAUGUUAUUUUGUAUUAACUGAAUAUAUAUAACAUACAUAACAGU